rnacentral:rRNA from 6 species
CAAAACACCACCAUCGGCGCGGUCGUCCUUGGCGUCUCGGUUUCGGCCGGGGCGCGGGGAUGGCUUAGCCCGGUGGCACCGGUGAAU